GGGUUGUGAGGUUAAGCGACUAAGCGUACACGGUGGAUGCCCUGGCAGUCAGAGGCGAUGAAGGACGUGCUAAUCUGCGAUAAGCGUCGGUAAGGUGAUAUGAACCGUUAUAACCGGCGAUUUCCGAAUGGGGAAACCCAGUGUGUUUCGACACACUAUCAUUAACUGAAUCCAUAGGUUAAUGAGGCGAACCGGGGGAACUGAAACAUCUAAGUACCCCGAGGAAAAGAAAUCAACCGAGAUUCCCCCAGUAGCGGCGAGCGAACGGGGAGGAGCCCAGAGCCUGAAUCAGUGUGUGUGUUAGUGGAAGCGUCUGGAAAGGCGCGCGAUACAGGGUGACAGCCCCGUACACAAAAAUGCACAUGCUGUGAGCUCGAUGAGUAGGGCGGGACACGUGGUAUCCUGUCUGAAUAUGGGGGGACCAUCCUCCAAGGCUAAAUACUCCUGACUGACCGAUAGUGAACCAGUACCGUGAGGGAAAGGCGAAAAGAACCCCGGCGAGGGGAGUGAAAAAGAACCUGAAACCGUGUACGUACAAGCAGUGGGAGCACGCUUAGGCGUGUGACUGCGUACCUUUUGUAUAAUGGGUCAGCGACUUAUAUUCUGUAGCAAGGUUAACCGAAUAGGGGAGCCGAAGGGAAACCGAGUCUUAACUGGGCGUUAAGUUGCAGGGUAUAGACCCGAAACCCGGUGAUCUAGCCAUGGGCAGGUUGAAGGUUGGGUAACACUAACUGGAGGACCGAACCGACUAAUGUUGAAAAAUUAGCGGAUGACUUGUGGCUGGGGGUGAAAGGCCAAUCAAACCGGGAGAUAGCUGGUUCUCCCCGAAAGCUAUUUAGGUAGCGCCUCGUGAAUUCAUCUCCGGGGGUAGAGCACUGUUUCGGCAAGGGGGUCAUCCCGACUUACCAACCCGAUGCAAACUGCGAAUACCGGAGAAUGUUAUCACGGGAGACACACGGCGGGUGCUAACGUCCGUCGUGAAGAGGGAAACAACCCAGACCGCCAGCUAAGGUCCCAAAGUCAUGGUUAAGUGGGAAACGAUGUGGGAAGGCCCAGACAGCCAGGAUGUUGGCUUAGAAGCAGCCAUCAUUUAAAGAAAGCGUAAUAGCUCACUGGUCGAGUCGGCCUGCGCGGAAGAUGUAACGGGGCUAAACCAUGCACCGAAGCUGCGGCAGCGACGCUUAUGCGUUGUUGGGUAGGGGAGCGUUCUGUAAGCCUGUGAAGGUGUGCUGUGAGGCAUGCUGGAGGUAUCAGAAGUGCGAAUGCUGACAUAAGUAACGAUAAAGCGGGUGAAAAGCCCGCUCGCCGGAAGACCAAGGGUUCCUGUCCAACGUUAAUCGGGGCAGGGUGAGUCGACCCCUAAGGCGAGGCCGAAAGGCGUAGUCGAUGGGAAACAGGUUAAUAUUCCUGUACUUGGUGUUACUGCGAAGGGGGGACGGAGAAGGCUAUGUUGGCCGGGCGACGGUUGUCCCGGUUUAAGCGUGUAGGCUGGUUUUCCAGGCAAAUCCGGAAAAUCAAGGCUGAGGCGUGAUGACGAGGCACUACGGUGCUGAAGCAACAAAUGCCCUGCUUCCAGGAAAAGCCUCUAAGCAUCAGGUAACAUCAAAUCGUACCCCAAACCGACACAGGUGGUCAGGUAGAGAAUACCAAGGCGCUUGAGAGAACUCGGGUGAAGGAACUAGGCAAAAUGGUGCCGUAACUUCGGGAGAAGGCACGCUGAUAUGUAGGUGAAGCGACUUGCUCGUGGAGCUGAAAUCAGUCGAAGAUACCAGCUGGCUGCAACUGUUUAUUAAAAACACAGCACUGUGCAAACACGAAAGUGGACGUAUACGGUGUGACGCCUGCCCGGUGCCGGAAGGUUAAUUGAUGGGGUCAGCGCAAGCGAAGCUCUUGAUCGAAGCCCCGGUAAACGGCGGCCGUAACUAUAACGGUCCUAAGGUAGCGAAAUUCCUUGUCGGGUAAGUUCCGACCUGCACGAAUGGCGUAAUGAUGGCCAGGCUGUCUCCACCCGAGACUCAGUGAAAUUGAACUCGCUGUGAAGAUGCAGUGUACCCGCGGCAAGACGGAAAGACCCCGUGAACCUUUACUAUAGCUUGACACUGAACAUUGAGCCUUGAUGUGUAGGAUAGGUGGGAGGCUUAGAAGUGUGGACGCCAGUCUGCAUGGAGCCGACCUUGAAAUACCACCCUUUAAUGUUUGAUGUUCUAACGUUGACCCGUAAUCCGGGUCGCGGACAGUGUCUGGUGGGUAGUUUGACUGGGGCGGUCUCCUCCUAAAGAGUAACGGAGGAGCACGAAGGUUGGCUAAUCCUGGUCGGACAUCAGGAGGUUAGUGCAAUGGCAUAAGCCAGCUUGACUGCGAGCGUGACGGCGCGAGCAGGUGCGAAAGCAGGUCAUAGUGAUCCGGUGGUUCUGAAUGGAAGGGCCAUCGCUCAACGGAUAAAAGGUACUCCGGGGAUAACAGGCUGAUACCGCCCAAGAGUUCAUAUCGACGGCGGUGUUUGGCACCUCGAUGUCGGCUCAUCACAUCCUGGGGCUGAAGUAGGUCCCAAGGGUAUGGCUGUUCGCCAUUUAAAGUGGUACGCGAGCUGGGUUUAGAACGUCGUGAGACAGUUCGGUCCCUAUCUGCCGUGGGCGCUGGAGAACUGAGGGGGGCUGCUCCUAGUACGAGAGGACCGGAGUGGACGCAUCACUGGUGUUCGGGUUGUCAUGCCAAUGGCACUGCCCGGUAGCUAAAUGCGGAAGAGAUAAGUGCUGAAAGCAUCUAAGCACGAAACUUGCCCCGAGAUGAGUUCUCCCUGACCCUUUAAGGGUCCUGAAGGAACGUUGAAGACGACGACGUUGAUAGGCCGGGUGUGUAAGCGCAGCGAUGCGUUGAGCUAACCGGUACUAAUGAACCGUGAGGCUUAACCUUACAACGCCGAAG
rnacentral:rRNA from 1 species